rnacentral:rRNA from 1 species
AUUGAACGCUGGCGGCAGGCCUAACACAUGCAAGUCGAACGGCAGCACAGAAGAGCUUGCUCUUUGGGUGGCGAGUGGCGGACGGGUGAGUAAUGUCUGGGAAACUGCCCGAUGGAGGGGGAUAACUACUGGAAACGGUAGCUAAUACCGCAUAACGUCGCAAGACCAAAGUGGGGGACCUUCGGGCCUCACACCAUCGGAUGUGCCCAGAUGGGAUUAGCUAGUAGGUGGGGUAAUGGCUCACCUAGGCGACGAUCCCUAGCUGGUCUGAGAGGAUGACCAGCCAGACUGGAACUGAGACACGGUCCAGACUCCUACGGGAGGCAGUAGUGGGGAAUAUUGCACAAUGGGCGCAAGCCUGAUGCAGCCAUGCCGCGUGUAUGAAGAAGGCCUUCGGGUUGUAAAGUACUUUCAGCGGGGAGGAAGGCGGUGAGGUUAAUAACCUCGCCGAUUGACGUUACCCGCAGAAGAGGCACCGGCUAACUCCGUGCCAGCAGCCGCGGUAA